CCCUUAGAUGUUCUGGGCCGCACACGCGCUACACUGAAGGAGGCAGCGUGUACUCCUGGAUCGAAAGAUUUGGGUAACCCGCGAAUCUCCUUCGUGCUAGGGAUUGAGGUUUGCAAUUAUCCUUCAUGAACGAGGAAUUCCCAGUAAGUGCAAGUCAUAAGCUUGCGCUGACUACGUCCCUGCCCUUUGUACACACCGCCUGUCGCUACUACCGAUUGAAUGAUUUAGUGAGGACUUCGGACUGGGACCGAUGCGGCUUUCGGGCUGCGUCGGUAUUCUGGAAAGAUGUCCAAACUGUAUCAUUUAGAGGAAGUAAAANUCGUANCA
rnacentral:rRNA from 1 species